CCUACGGGAGGCUGCAGUGAGGAAUAUUGGUCAAUGGCCGUAAGGCUGAACCAGCCAAGUCGCGUGAAGGAAGAAGGAUCUAUGGUUUGUAAACUUCUUUUAUAGGGGAAUAAAGGUAUCCACGUGUGGAUAUUUGCAUGUACCCUAUGAAUAAGCAUCGGCUAACUCCGUGCCAGCAGCAGCGGUAAUACGGAGGAUGCGAGCGUUAUCCGGAUUUAUUGGGUUUAAAGGGUGCGUAGGUUGUUUUUUAAGUCAGCGGUGAAAGUUUGUGGCUCAACCAUAAAAUUGCCGUUGAAACUGGAAGUCUUGAGUGUGUUUGAGGUAGGCGGAAUGCGUGGUGUAGCGGUGAAAUGCAUAGAUAUCACGCAGAACUCCGAUUGCGAAGGCAGCUUACUAAGCCAUAACUGACACUGAAGCACGAAAGCGUGGGGAUCAAACAGGAUUAGAUACCCGUGUAGUC
rnacentral:rRNA from 1 species